rnacentral:rRNA from 2 species
UGGGGAAUAUUGCACAAUGGGCGGAAGCCUGAUGCAGCGACGCCGCGUGGGGGAUGACGGCCUUCGGGUUGUAAACCCCUUUCGCCCGGGACGAAGCGAGAGCGACGGUACCGGGAGAAGAAGCACCGGCCAACUACGUGCCAGCAGCCGCGGUAAUACGUAGGGUGCAAGCGUUGUCCGGAAUUAUUGGGCGUAAAGAGCUCGUAGGCGGUGUGUCGCGUCUGCCGUGAAAACCUGCGGCUUAACCGUGGGCGUGCGGUGGAUACGGGCACACUUGAGUUCGGUAGGGGAGACUGGAAUUCCUGGUGUAGCGGUGGAAUGCGCAGAUAUCAGGAGGAACACCAGUGGCGAAGGCGGGUCUCUGGGCCGAAACUGACGCUGAGGAGCGAAAGCGUGGGGAGCGAACAGG